AACAGAUUUUGGCCAAAGUAGGGGGAGUAGCAUAACCUCUAGCAAAGGUAGAACAAAUGCUGCUCAGGUGAGUGAGGGGGUAAUUUCCUUUUAAAAAAAAAAAAACAAACUUCUCAAGCUAUUCAGUAUGUUUUCUGAAUCUUUUUUAACAGGUCCAAAGCAUUAGAUCUGCAAAUGUUUUCUCUGUAGCUACAUAAUUCCCUUAUAGAAAAGCCCUCGUUCUGCAACUGGUGAAGCAAGACAGGGGAAGGGAGGGAGCAGAUUUCCACCUGAUUUUCUCCACGUGCUUGAAGACGAGGAGUUUCUGCUAACUGCUGCCAGGCCAGGAGCU
rnacentral:lncRNA from 1 species